UCAGUUCUUCAUGCUACUUUUUGAUGGUUCUCAUGUCAUUGAUGUGGAAUAUCUUCAUGUGGAAUACCGUUUUAGGCAGCAUUCGGCUCCCUUUCAAAAAUUAGGAAUUAAUCGAAGAGCUGGAGUCUAGAGGGAAAAAAAAUUCAGAUUUUGCGACAGCAUUUCGGAGAAGCUGGUGCCCGUUAUCUUAGAUAGUCCCAACAAGGUUUCUCUAAAAGGAUAUUCACCAGAAGAGUGGACCAUAGGUGAGAGUGCUGAACCAUAGAUGGAGAUAGUGCUGAAUUAAAAGGUAUCAACAGACUUGUGCUGCCUACCAAU